GUCGAGAAUCUUUCACAAUGGGGGCAACCCUGAUGGAGCGACGCCGCGUGGAGGAUAAGGUCUUCGGAUUGUAAACUCCUGUCAUGCGUGAACAAGGUUGCUUGGUUAAUACCUGGGCAAAUUGAUGGUAACGCAAGAGGAAGAGACGGCUAACUCUGUGCCAGCAGCCGCGGUAAUACAGAGGUCUCAAGCGUUGUUCGGAAUAACUGGGCGUAAAGGGUGCGUAGGUGGCGUGGUAAGUCAGAUGUGAAAGCACGGGGCUCAACCUCGGAACUGCAUGCGAUACUGCCAUGCUGGAGUACUGGAGAGGUGACUAGAAUUCUCGGUGUGGCAGUGGAAUGCGUAGAUAUCGAGAGGAAUACCAAAGGCGUAGGCAGGUCACUGGACAGUUACUGACACUGAGGCACGAAGGCCAGGGGAGCGAACGGGAUUAGAAACCCGGGUAGUCC
rnacentral:rRNA from 1 species